rnacentral:rRNA from 1 species
UACGUAGGUGGCGAGCGUUAUCCGGAUUUAUUGGGCGUAAAGCGUCCGCAGCCGGUUUUAUAAGUCUAGAAUGAAAGCCUGGGGCUUAACCCCAGUUUGUUUUAGAAACUGUAAGGCUAGAGUAUGGUAGAGGCAAAUGGAAUUUCUAGUGUAGCGGUAAAAUGCGUAGAUAUUAGAAGGAACACCAGUGGCGAAGGCGAUUUGCUAGGCCAUCACUGACGGUCAGGGACGAAAGCGUGGGGAGCAAAUA